rnacentral:rRNA from 1 species
UACGGGAGGCAGCAGUGAGGAAUAUUGGUCAAUGGACGAGAGUCUGAACCAGCCAAGUAGCGUGAAGGAUGACUGCCCUAUGGGUUGUAAACUUCUUUUAUACGGGAAUAAAGUGAGCCACGUGUGGCUUUUUGUAUGUACCGUAUGAAUAAGGAUCGGCUAACCCCGUGCCAGCAGCCGCGGUAAUACGGAGGAUUCGAGCGUUAUCCGGAUUUAUUGGGUUUAAAGGGAGCGUAGGCGGGUUGUUAAGUCAGUUGUGAAAGUUUGCGGCUCAACCGUAAAAUUGCAGUUGAUACUGGCGACCUUGAGUGCAACAGAGGUAGGCGGAAUUCGUGGUGUAGCGGUGAAAUGCUUAGAUAUCACGAAGAACUCCGAUUGCGAAGGCAGCUUACUGGAUUGUAACUGACGCUGAUGCUCGAAAGUGUGGGUAUCAAACAGGAUUAGAUACCCUGGUAGUCCACACAGUAAACGAUGAAUACUCGCUGUUGGCGAUAUACAGUCAGCGGCCAAGCGAAAGCAUUAAGUAUUCCACCUGGG